CCCAUCUGCCGGUGCCGCCUCGCCCCCGGCCCUAGGGCCAACUCCGCCCGCUUUGUCUUUGCCGCUGGUGGCGCCCUGCCGCCUGGCCGCCAGCCCUAGGCCACGUACACUCGUCGCCUGGCCGCACGUGCCUCCUCCAUGGCCGGCGUGAUCUUAGGACCAGGAGGCUACCCAAGUUCCCGUGCCUCUGUAGAGGUAGCCACCACAACAAGAGGAUGGGACGUUGCUGAAGGACGCCCAUUGCCUCCUCCAUCCCCAAGCGCUUCCUAGCAGUCCAACUCCUCGAAACCCUAGCCCAAAUCGUCUAAUUUCUUUGGCUGCCUCCAGUCCAUACAUCCUGAUGUACUAUGUAAACCUGGAGGUUACUGCUGAGGAUUAUCUUUAUGAUGACAAUUACAAGUUAGACAUCUCUGUGUCCAAUUUGAAUGUCCUUAAUAACCUUGCAGGGAUUGUUCAGCUGGAAUAUCCACAAUUCAAUACCGCACCGCAGCCUUUCACGCUCAAGCUUGCUCUUGCUCUUCGGCUACGAGCAUACAACAGGUGUAAUUAUUAGUUGGAAAACCUCAAGCGGCUACAAAGUCCUCACAGAUCUCACAGAAGAGCCUAGAUAUCCGAGUUGGGAAAUCCAAAACGGUGGAUGUUGAUAAACCACGGAUGAGCUCGGAUGACAUUAAGAAGUUCCAAAGGAGAAGAUGCUUGGUUUGGUGAUGCUGAUGCCUAUGUUCUGCACGACAUCAAGCUACACUUCAUAGUUGUCAAAGAUCUUGUUGUACUCUAUUUAUGUGAUAAAAUACCAUCGUAGUUUGGUUGUUUUCAUGUUGCCCCUCCGAUGAAGUCGUAGCGUUAGCACGGAUAUUAUACUAGUAAAUUAAGGAUGUGUUUGGGAGGGCUCUUCUAUAUAGGCUUCUCUCGAGGA